rnacentral:rRNA from 1 species
UACAGGGGGGGCAAGCGUUGUUCGGAAUCACUGGGCUUAAAGGGCGCGUAGGUGGUCUGUCAAGUCGGGGGUGAAAUCUUUCGGCUCAACCGGAAAACUGCCUUCGAUACUGACAGACUAGAGGGAGGUAGGGGUUGCGGGAACUACCAGUGGAGCGGUGAAAUGCGUUGAUAUUGGUAGGAACGCCGGUGGCGAAAGCGCGCAACUGGAUCUCUUCUGACACUGAGGCGCGAAAGCUAGGGGAGCAAACGGG